rnacentral:rRNA from 1 species
UACGGAGGAUCCGAGCGUUAUCCGGAUUUAUUGGGUUUAAAGGGAGCGUCGGUGGAUUGUUAAGUCAGUUGUGAAAGUUUGCGGCUCAACCGUAAAAUUGCAGUUGAAACUGGCAGUCUUGAGUACAGUAGAGGUGGGCGGAAUUCGUGGUGUAGCGGUGAAAUGCUUAGAUAUCACGAAGAACUCCGAUUGCGAAGGCAGCUCACUGGACUGCAACUGACACUGAGGCUCGAAAGUGUGGGUAUCAAACAGG